rnacentral:rRNA from 1 species
AUUGAACGCUGGCGGAAUGCUUUACACAUGCAAGUCGAACGGCAGCACGGGGCAACCUGGUGGCGAGUGGCGAACGGGUGAGUAAUACAUCGGAACGUGCCCAAUCGUGGGGGAUAACGUAGCGAAAGUUACGCUAAUACCGCAUACGAUCUACGGAUGAAAGCGGGGGAUCGCAAGACCUCGCGCGAAUGGAGCGGCCGAUGUCAGAUUAGGUAGUUGGUGGGGGUAAAGGCUCACCAAGCCGACGAUCUGUAGCUGGUCUGAGAGGACGACCAGCCACACUGGGACUGAGACACGGCCCAGACUCCUACGGGAGGCAGCAGUGGGGAAUUUUGGACAAUGGGCGCAAGCCUGAUCCAGCCAUUCCGCGUGCAGGAUGAAGGCCUUCGGUU